UACGAAGGGUGCAAGCGUUACUCGGAAUUACUGGGCGUAAAGCGUGCGUAGGCGGUUGGUUAAGUCUGUCGUGAAAGCCCUGGGCUCAACCUGGGAAUGGCGAUGGAUACUGGCCAGCUAGAGUGUGAUAGAGGAUGGCGGAAUUCCCGGUGUAGCGGUGAAAUGCGUAGAGAUCGGGAGGAACAUCCGUGGCGAAGGCGGCCAUCUGGAUCAACACUGACGCUGAGGCACGAAAGCGUGGGGAGCAAACAGG
rnacentral:rRNA from 1 species